UUCCUUAGCCCGUGGUCUACGUGGAGUUUGGGGUUGUGAUAUCGCCACACUAGCCGCCCCGCUGGAAAGACAGGCUGAACAACACUGCGCAGGUGCGUGAGUUUACUUCCGCGUUCUCUGAUUGGUCGGAAGGAUAAACUGAAACGUCACGCUAGAGGGCUCACUGCACACAGAGCGGACCAUGUCACUGCGGUUCAUCUGGAGCAUGUCAUCGUCGAGACUGAGGAUGCCCUUGUGCCAGGAGCCGGUGUUGAUGUAGUCGUAAACCCCGGGCUGCAUGCGCUGGAAGUUCAUAAUCUCAUACCUGAUGAGGGUGAGUCCCCGUUCUCGUCGAACCAUAUGUCCUCUCCGGAGACGCCCGUGAAAGACGUUUUGAGCAGGAAGUCCAGCAAGUGGCGUCCGUCGACGGGCACCAUGUCGUCACACAGACCCACGUGGCCG